GACGUAGGGCGCGAGCGUUGUCCGGAUUUAUUGGGCGUAAAGAGCUCGUAGGCGGCUUGUCGCGUCGAAUGUGAAACUCUCGGGGCUCAACUCCGAGCUGCAUUCGAUACGGGCAGGCUAGAGUUCGGUAGGGGAGACUGGAAUUCCUGGUGUAGCGGUGAAAUGCGCAGAUAUCAGGAGGAACACCGGUGGCGAAGGCGGGUCUCUGGGCCGAUACUGACGCUGAGGAGCGAAAGCGUGGGGAGCGAACAGG
rnacentral:rRNA from 1 species